ACCUGCCACCAUAGGGCAGCCAACACCCUAGGCAUCUUGGUGACUCAGGUCCCACAUGGAGGACUAGCCGGAAAGCACCCUGUGGGUCCCCUGUGAGUCAGGGGAAAUGCUGAUUCCCUGAAGGAUGACUGGCUGCGUUCCCACUAUAACCAACUCUCCUUCCACCUUGAAAAUCUCCCAGGAUGGGUACAGUAGAGUCAAUAGACUCGUCUCAAAUUCCUGAAGAAAUCCAGAAAACAAAGCGGGGUGGUGGAGAAGAGAGGGGCCUAAGGGAGUGAAGAGAGCCCAGCAAAGUGAAGAGAUGGGGUCUCCAGGACAUCACCACUGAGCCAGUACCACCAGCGCAAGGUCAAAGCGCCCAGCUGCAGAUGACAGCCCUAACUCUCCCCUCUCAACUACCAGCACCCUGUGUGUGCCUGGUUUCCCCACGGAAGCCAAGAGCCCUCUUCUUUUCCUGGACUAAUAACUGGAAUGGAAAAAACCACACACAAAACCAUAAGCUAGGGACCAAAGGCAAUCAACCGUUUCUGCUUAUACCUCAAAACGUGACUCAGUCUAGAGGUUUCCAAUUUCACCUGAGCUGUUAAUUUACAGGAAGAUCCUCAAUGAUCUUCGGAAAAGACAGAGGAGCAAGAAACUCUGAAAAGGAUGUAAUAAAAAUUAAACUCAACAGGGAAAAAAUAGUAACCAUUAGCCUGAACAGGAUUAUUAGCUGACAAUUCCAACUACUCUACCUUCUAGGAGGCAGCAGGGUGUGGACACAGGCCUCAAGAGUGACACCUGAGCCAGGCAUGCCGGCAUUCACCUACAGUCCCAGCUACUAAGAAGGCUGAGGCAGAUCACUUGUGGCCAGGACUUCAGAACUAUAGCAUGAUUGAGCCUGUGUACAGCCAGCCACUGCACUCUAGCCUAAGCAACAUAGAGCCAGUUCUACAAAAAAUAAUAAUAAAAAAGUGACACCCAGUGGGUUCAAAACUCUGCCGCCACCACUUAAAAUGUGUGAUCACAGGCAAGUUAGUGAAAUCUCUAAACCCCUAUGCUUCCCGUUAGAAACCAGGGACACCACCAGCAGGUAACACAGCCAGGAAAGGGAAAACGGGCCAGGCCUGUGUCUGCUGAGUAGUCUGUGCCUGAUACUGAAGAUUUGCGGCAUUGGAACGAUAACCCUAGGGCAGGCAUGGUGGUGCAUGCCUGUAAUCCCAGCACUUGCCAGAGUAAGGUGGGACGACUGCUGGAGCUGAGGUGCUUGAGACCAGCCUGGGCAACAUGGUGAAACCCCAUCUCUACAAAAAAAUACAAAAACUAGCCGGGCACGGCAGUGCAUACCUAUAGUACCAGCUACUCAGAAGGCUGAGGUAUAUGGAUGGCUUGAGCCUGGGAGAUGGAGGUUGAGCUGAGAUUGCACCACUGCCCUACUGCCUGGGCAACAGAAUCAGACCUCGUCUCAAGACAAAAAACCUACAACCCUUACAUAUUAUCAGCUACCUACCUCACAGGCCAGUUACCAGAAAUCAUGUAAAGUUCCUCUGCACUCUGUGAAUUAUACAUGUUAGCUCUUGUUACUAGCAGCUAUUCUCUCCCUUCACUGGGAAAGGUCUGGAAUCCAAUCCCUAAGUAUUAGGUAGCCACAAAGCCCCAUGUCACUACCCGCCCCAACUGCUUCCGCUCUUUCCCAGCUAGAAGACACUCAUCGUCGUAGGAGGCAGGGUAAUUAAAAUCACAAGUGAACACAGGCCUCUAUUUCUGUUCUUCUGAAGUCUUCUCUCCUGCAUAUCGAGGUACUGCAGACACAGAAAAUACCCUACUUCAACAUGUGUACUCCCAGGGAGGAAGCAACCACUCACAAAGAGGCAGGACAGGAGAGGGCUCAAUGUUCAGUUUCCUUUAAUGACCCCCAUCUCCCUGAAGGACAGGUGCAGGCAGCAAGGCGAUGGCAAGAGAUGUUCACUUGAAGAUCUUGCCCUGAUUGAAGGCUUUGCCCACGUGCUGGAAGGCCCCCUCCCAGGAGAAAUACUCUCGAACCAGUGUCUGGGCCUCCUCGCUGCCAGGAUCCAGUUUCCGCCACGUGUAUGACUCGUAGUCCACCUGCCAAUCUGGACUCAGCUGGGGAUAAAAAGCCAGCAUGUGGUCAAGUUAUGAGACACCACCCCACACCUGUGUUACUUCCAGCUCAAACACUUGUCAUCAGACCCCAGGUCUCCUGUGAAUGUGAACUGCUCCUUCCUAUAAGCAUUCCUGAACUCUCCCCAACAUCCAUCGGCUCAGAAAUAAAACAUUGUGUUUCCUAUAUCCUUGCCCCACCCUAAAGAGACUCCUCUCCUCCACUGUCCUCACCGGAAAGGCAAGCUCCUGGCCUCGGAAGACCCAGACUCCAGAAAUUGAGCUACUAUUGUUGGUUCCAAAGAGGAUGACACUGGCGAAGGCAUUCUUCCUCAGCUUGUCCAGUCGCUGGAACAUUCCUGAAGGGGCAAGAGAGAACAUUCAGCCUUUGGAAUCACAGCGCUCACUACACCUUGUUCUCCUUCCUCAUCUCAGACCCACUGUCUUCUUACCAGUGAUGAGAUUGCAGCUCAUGAAGGUCUGAGUGAGUUCUUCAGGGAAGCGAUACUCUGAGUACCACAGGGACCAGCCGUCCUUAUCAAAGUGCUCCCAGAAAUAUGGCAGUGCCACAGAGAGAGUGUCCUCAUUGGAGUACUUGCGCUUAAAUUCAUCCAACACAAAGGUACUAAGAGGAGGAAGAAUGCACAGCCAGCACCCUCACACCAGCACUUCGGGAGGCCAAGAUGGAUGGAUCACUUGAGGUCAGGAGUUUGAGACCAGCCUGACCAACAAGGUGAAACCCCAUAUCUACUAAAAAUACAAAAAUUAGCCGGGCAUGGUGGUGCGCACCUGUAGUCCCAGCUACUCGGGAGGCUGAGAGAAGUGCAUGAACCCAGGAGGCAGAGGUUGCAGUGAGCCGAGAUCACACCACUGCACUGCAGCCUGGGCAAUGAAGCGAGACUCUGUCUCUCAAUAAAUAAAAAAAAAAAACAUGCUGUGAGGAAAAUCAACUAUAAUGCCAACGAACAGGAUAAUCUUUUUAUGUAUUUUCCUAUAGCCUUUGAUUUUCCAAAGAUGCAGCCCUGACAUAUGCAGUUUUGCCAGGCGCGGUGGCGCAUGCCUGUAGUCCCAGCUACUCGGGAGGCUGAGGUGGGAGUAUCACUUGAGCCCAGGAGUUCUGGGCUGUAGUGCGCUAUGCCAAUCGGGUGUCCACACUAAGUUCGGCAUCAAUAUGGUGACCUCCCGGGAGUGGGGACCACCAGGUUGCCUAAGGAGGGAUGAACUGGCCCAGGUCGUGCUGAUCAGUAGUGGGAUCCAGCCUGUGAAUAGCGCCUGCACUCCAGCCUGGGCAAUAUAGUCAGACCCUGUCUC